rnacentral:lncRNA from 1 species
GACUGUCCCCUCUUUUGUAGCACACAAUUUUCUCGUUGAUUCUUUAUUUUUUGACAGGUAUUCGGCUAAUCUUUUUGAGAUUUGGCGCCAGUCUAUCUCUUGACAUUUUUACGAAUAUUUUUUCUAACCUUUUUGCCCUUGCUCGGUGUACUCCAGGUACCCCACAGAGCAUCCGGGGUAAGCCAAUUUAUUAAUAUCGACACGUGGUGCUUUGUCAUUGUGCUUUCUAUUUCCUUCCCAAACAACAUCCCCUUAGUUUCUUUGUGGCGAAUGUAAUUGAGGCAAAAGAAACUCUUAGAGGAGCUGAGGAUGAUACGUGGCGAUAUUUGGCCCCUCUUUCUGAAAUAAAUAGGGUACGUUUUUACUUUUUGCUUUAUUUUCGCUUUCAUUUGUAAUUCCUAAAAAAAAAUUUCCUUCCUCUUUAUUAAUCAUUCUGCAAUACCUCCUCAUCUUUUUUUUUUUCCUUUGGCUUUCCUUUGAUUUUAUUUCCU